rfam:Nocardia sp. NRRL S-836 P437contig18.1, whole genome shotgun sequence.
GGUCAUGAGAGCCAGCGUCAAGCCCAAGCUUGCUGGCCGGCAACCCUCCAACCGCGGUGGGGUGCCCUUGGUGAGGACCUGGUCCGGCGCGCAGGGCGUCGGUCAAGCGCGGGCC